rnacentral:lncRNA from 1 species
UGAACAUUCAGAUUAAUUGGAAAUUUAUUCCGAAAGCAGCACCGUGGUACGGUGGAUGGUGGGAGAGACUAGUUGGAAUUACGAAAACGACAUUGAAAAAAAGUGCUCGGGAAAUCACAAGUAAAUUCUGACGUAUUACGAACAACUUUGAUAGAAAUUGAACGUGUAAUCAACGAUCGUCCGAUUACAUAUGUGUCGUCCGACAUCCGAGAUCCAGAGCCGCUAACGCCGUCACAUCUACUGCAGGGAAGAAGAUUAUCACAAGAGAACAAUUCUGAUUCAGAG